rnacentral:rRNA from 1 species
GUGCCAGCCGCCGCGGUAAGACGAAGGUGGCAAGCGUUGUUCGGAUUCACUGGGCAUAAAGGGCGCGUAGGCGGUUCCGAAAGUGGCCUGUGAAAUCCCCCGGCUCAACCGGGGAAGUGCGGGCCAAACUUCGGUCCUUGAGGCUGGGAGGGGAGACUGGAACUCUCGGUGGAGCGGUGAAAUGCGUAGAUAUCGAGAGGAACACCGGUGGCGAAGGCGAGUCUCUGGUCCAGCUCUGACGCUGAGGCGCGAAAGCGUGGGUAGCAAACAGGAUUAGAUACCCUAGUAGUCC